AGCAUUUCAUCUACCUACAAAAUCAUCUAUCUACCACCAAAGCCAUUCAAAACACUAUUUUCAAUUUAACCAGUAUUCAUUUAGCAACUUGGUAUUUCCUAACCUAUCCAAAUCAUACAAAAGUCCGCCACUACCGUCAUCGAAGUAAUAAAUGCCGAAAAAGGUAAUUUACAUGUUUACAUUUAACGUUAGAAAGAUAUCAGUUCAUAGACAUGAAUCUCCAUGCACUGCAGAGAUCGCAUUCCAGCCUGCGCCAAAACAUGCAUCUCUCGGCAGUGGGAGAAUUUAGCAUAUUUUUGUUUCAUAUCUUUUUUGUUAAAUAAACAGUAUAAAUAAAUUAUUCCUUCUAUAAAUAACAAUUUAUUUUUGCUUAAAAAAAAUCCAUCAUUUUUUUUAAGUUUUAAAAUAAUAAACAAGAAAAUGAAUAUAUUCAGUCCGCACAGUGCAGUGUGCCUAAACACUCUGCAUAGCACAGAGUGUUUUCCCAAACACUAUGCUGUACGGAGUGUUUCCCCAAACACUCCCUCCCUCCGAGCGCCCAAACACUCCAUUACAUGUUUUACAGCAUUUUGUUCUCUUUCAUUUACAUUUUUUUUUAAUAAUUUCAUUUAACCUACAAAAGCAACAUAAAAAUCAUAUAAUAAAUCGUCCAUAAUUGAUAAAAAUUAGCUCAUUAAAAAACUCAAAUGAUAUUUUUGUAGAGUUGUAGUACAUGAGAUAUCAUUCAUCGUAAUGGGGAUCUUUUGCUAGCUUCUAUUUUUAAAUUUAUUUAUGAAGAUUAAGCUAGAUUUGUAUAUAAAAAAAUUUUAUGAUUAAAGAAUGGUUUUUUUGAUAAUUUUUGUAGAUGUCGUUACAAUACAUAUUGUCUCCAAAUCAAUGGUUCUCUGCUAUUAUUAGUCAAUUUACAAAUCAUCAAUAUCUUAAAGAUUUUGUAGAACUUAUAGAUGCAGAUGAUCAGGCCUCUUUAUUGUGCAGUCACUUUCAUGUAUUUAUUUAUGGAAGUAUGUAUAAGGCACAAAAAUAAAAAUUUAGUAGUAAAUUGAUACACGAGUUUAUAAUGAGACUUAUUGACUGUGGUAAAAAUAAUGAAGUUUGGUGCGAUCAGAUAAUCGUGUGGCCCGUUUUGGCAUGCAAUAAUUUUGUCUAAUCAUUGGAUUACCAUGCCAUAAAGUUAUUGUUAAUCUCGAUUUUAGUAAUACUCGACUUAGGGAUGAGUACUUCAAUGGUACAAAAAAGAAUUACUAUGAAAAGACUUUCUGAAGGAUUCCACAUAUGUCAAGAUCUAGAAGAUAAAUUUAAGUUGCGAUUAGUUAUAUCCGUGGAAUGUAUUUUGAAACCAACUAGAAGGUACAUCGAUUAUAGAACUCUUAGAAUGGUUGAACAAUUUGAUGAGUUUCUUAUGUAUCCAUGGGGCCGCAAGACAUAUUUUAUUUUAUUAAAUUCAUUGCAAGAAUCAUAGCUCGAAAGAGUAUAAAAGGUACAAUAAAAUAACCAAACAGAUUAUAAAUAUUCCUCAAAAGGUUAUCCAUUUGCAUUUCAGGUAUUUUUCUUUUAUUUUUAUUUUUUGCUUAUUAUGUAUAAUCUAAUUGUAUAAAAAAAUUAAUAUUUAUUUUUACUUAUAUUGCAGUAUUGGAUAUAUGAAGCUUUUUCUCAAAUUAGAAAAUAAUUUGGACGUAAUACACAUAGAAAAUGCAAUAUCCAUGAAUGCAUAAAUGGAAUCCAAAAAUAGUAUUAACAGAACAAAUCAUUAAACAAUUUCUGGCUACUCAAGAGGUAUGAUUUAUUUAAAUCUACAAUUAAAUGUGUAUUUAAUUAUUUAUAAACGAAUUUAAAAAAAUAAAUCUAAUAUUUUAUUACAAUUAUAGAUUGAAGUAAUUGCAGUACUGCAUCCUACUGAAGAAGAAUUGAAAACAUUCUGGUAUACAAAUCAUUGACAACCAACAUUGUAUACCUGAUGGCAUUGUCAAUGGCGAAUUUGAAAAUGUAACACAAUAGAUUCCUAUUGAUAACAUACAUAUGCAAGAAACAAUUGUUGGCACUUCAGUUGGAAUUGGAUCUAUUUCUUCUGGUGGUUCAAACUAUGUAACUAAAGAAGAUAUGGACCAAACAUUCAAUAUUUAUAGACAACAUGUAGUGUCAAAUGUAUCUGGUUUGUAUGAUAGCUUAAAAACACAAAUGGUUGAAAAAUCGAGAAAAUAAGAAGCACGCUAUAUCAUGCAAUUCUUGAAAAUCCAAAAGCUCACUACCAGACGAUUCUUGACAACUAGAAACAAUAUUUGAAUAUCAGCAAAAAGGCCAAUAAGGCUACUUCCAAGGUAUGCAAUCUUAUGUGGAUACCAAUUUCAGUUCAACGAAAUCGUACAUUGAUGAACAAAAUUAGAAUAUGCUGAAUCAAUUGUCUGACUGGAAAUCAUACAUGGAAACAAUUGUAGGCUCUAUACAACGAGAUGUUCCUGCCUAUACAAGUUCAAUUGAAUUCGAAAACCCUUCAACAUCUGAACAUAUUGAAAAUGUUGAAAGGUUGACGAAAAAAAGGAGGUAAGAAAAAACAAACACAAUCUCCAUCAACAGUGCUGACUAAUACUUUAAAAGAAACUAUAACAACAACAAGUACGAAAAAAUUAGAGAUUUGAUAUUACAAAAUCCAUCAGGAUGGGAGAUCCAAUAUUACUUUAUUAGCUUAAAUAUUAUAAUUUAUAUUUUAUUCAUUUAACACCAAUUUAAAUUUUCUUAUAUAGUACGUAUUGGGAUGAUGGAGCCGGCAAUCUCUACGAAAGACAAAUGCUAAGAGAUAUAAUUUAUCAAACGAAAGAUAUAAAUAUUAUAGUAAGUAAAAUUUAGUAAUCAUAAUUCAUUUUAUUCCAUUAUUAAUAUAUAUAAUUUACACUUUUUUUUAUUAGAAUAUUGAUACAGAAUUAAAGCUAUUGAGGAGGCUUAUUAACGGCGAUUCUCCCCCCGUUUCUAAAGAAUAUGCAAUCAUGGACCAUAGAUUCGAAACUGAAUGUGUUCAUUGGCAAAUGAAUAUGCAAGAAGGAAUUGGCAAUCUGCAACUAAUUUGAACAUAUUACAACAGUACAUAAAUGGAAAAUUGUCAUUAUCUCCUCAUCUGUGGAUAACAUGUAACUAUUUAUUAAUUCCAUUUGCAUAUCUAGGCAACACUUGAUUUCUUUUUCUUGU
rnacentral:lncRNA from 1 species